GACUACCCGGGUAUCUAAGCCUGUUUGCUCCCCACGCUGUCGCGCCUCAGCGUCAGCUACGGCCCAGCACACCGCCUUCGCCACCGGUGUUCUUCCGGAUCUCUACGCAUUCCACCGCUACACCCGGAAUUCCAUGUGCCUCUACCGUGCUCCAGUCGGACAGUUCGCAUGGCCGAUCCGGGGUUGAGCCCCGGACUUUCACCACACGCUUACCCGACCGCCUACGCGCCCUUUACGCCCAGUGAUUCCGGACAACGCUCGCACCCUCUGUAUUACCGCGGCUGCUGGCACAGAGUUAGCCGGUGCUUCCUCACCCGGUACCGUCACUCCUGUCGAAACAGGCAUUCGUCCCGGGCAACAGGAGUUUACACCCCGAAGGGCGUCAUCCUCCACGCGGCGUCGCUGCGUCAGCCUUUCGCCCAUUGCGCAAGAUUCCCCACUGCUGCCCCCCGUAGG
rnacentral:rRNA from 1 species